rnacentral:snRNA from 1 species
GUGCUUGCUUCGACAGCAUAUAUACUAAAAUUAUAGUGAUACAGAGAAGAUUGGCAUGGCUCCUGCACAAGGAUGAUGCACAAUUUCAUGAACCAUUUCAUUUUUAA